AUAAAUAUCAUGAUCAUGUAAGGAAAAACAAAACAAAUCAGGGAAACCGCGGAAUUUGUGAUGGAAAUGUACUCUUAAGUACAAAAAGUCUCGUAAUUUAGAGUCAUAAUUCUCCUAUUAUUUUAAUAUUUGUAUUAUACUAUAUUUAAAAUUGUAACCUUUUAGAAACUCUUGUGAGAUUUAAAAAACUUUUCUUAUCUAAGGGUUAAUUGCAGACGAGAGUUGUUAAGGGUUUGUUCAAUAAAUAAUGUUAAACAAUAAAUUCUUUUAAACAUCUUCGUUUUUUAACAUUUGGAGAUGUAUUGUGUGAAAGGAGCUUUUAAUGUACUUUCGAAACGGCCGGUAGCUACUAUAAAUAAAAUUUCUCUUUUGAACAACAAUGCUAUCAAAACAUCACAUUAUAAUGUACUAUUUUCGUCGUUUAAUCACAAUAAAUUAUGCAACUUAAAGUAUGACCUGAAAAAUUUCUCGCAAAUUGAGUUUCAUUCAAGAAAUAGAAAUUUUAAAAGUUCUUUUUCCAGAAUAGUUUUAUAUCGUUCUUUUAAAACAUCUGAACCUAGAAAAAUCCAUCCAAUAUUUUGGUUUGUCUUCAAGCCAUUUCUUAAGUUGACUGCUAUUCUUACUGGAAGAGGUUUUAGAAAAUGGUGGCGAGAUCUGCCUAAAGACAAAAAGAGACAUUUUAUCAAUGUAAUGAUUAUCAAUAAGAAGAAAAUUGCUGCCUCAGUGUUAGUUUUUGUUUUACUAUCAUUGGGAUUUUAUAUCAGCCAUAUUGAAGAAACUCCUAUUACUAAACGAAAACGUUUCAUGGCAUUUAGUACAAAGCAAUUAGCAGAAAUAAAUGCCUUUGAAUUAAAACAGUUAAUGGAAAAUCUUGGUCCUCAAAUUAUUCCUUCCUCUCACCCAGCCACUUUAAGAGUAAUAAGAAUCGUCAAUAGAAUUUUGCAAGCCAACCAAGACAUCCAAGAAAUACAUGGAAAGCAAUGGGGUGUGUCUAUCAUUGAUAGUCCAAUAGAAAAUGCUUUUGUAUUGCCUAUUGGACAUGUCUUUGUGUUUACUGGUAUGCUGAAACUAUGCACUAAUGAUGAUCAACUUGGAGGAAUAUUGGCUCAUGAAAUUGCACAUUGUCUACAAAAUCAUGGAGCCGAAAAUAUUAGCUUUACUCAUCUGUUAGACAUGGUUUCUAUUUUUAUCAUCGCUGCUAUUUGGGCUGUGCUACCAAGUGACAUAAUUUCUUUCCUUACUCAUUGGGUGUAUCAGAAAUCACUUGAGAUUUUAUUACAGCUUCCUUACAACAGAAAAAUCGAAACCGAAGCUGACACUGUUGGAUUACAGCUUGCUGCAAAAGCUUGCUUUGAUGUUCGGGAAUGUAGUGCUUUUUGGAGUAAGAUGGCCAUCUUAAAAAAGACUUUUGGGGAUAAUCAACAAAUAGAGUUUUUAUCCACGCAUCCAAGCCAUGAGAAACGUUCAGAGUAUCUUGAUACUAUUAUGGACAAAGCAAUAUCACUUCGUAAAGAUUCUGGAUGCCCAGACUUGAAGUCCAGGGAUCCUAGACUUGAUGUUGAAGGCGUAAGCAAAGCUCUAGAACUGGCCAGAAGACAAUACUUAGAGCGUAAUCCAAAACCUGUAAUCGUUUAUUGAUAAUUGAAACUCUGAUGUUUAUCUAGACAACUGUAUUUAGCUAGUAAAUAGUUUACAUAUAAGCCAGAUAGCUAUUUUAAAGAUUUGUACGUGACUCAUCAAUCAUUUCAGCUGGCUCUGUCAUCAAAACUUC
rnacentral:misc_RNA from 1 species